UGGGAAAUGUGCCAAGAUCAGCGCUUUUGCUUUCUGUCUGUCUCUCCCCCCCGUCUCUCUCUCUCCCCCUCCCUUCCACCACCACCCCUCCCCUUCAAAAUACCACAAAAAUCUUGGCGCAACCCCGGUCGCAACAAGCAACUGCGCCAAUCCACCCACCGGCCUGACGGUGCACCGGAGAUAUACGUACCAUUGCCAUGUGAAAAAAGACAUAUCAACAAUCGACUUUGUUUGACUCAACACUAAGAAUGCUGGGAACACACAUGCUGGUGGGUCAGGCAGCAUCCGUGGAAAGGGAACCAGAGUUAACGUCUCAGCUCAAGUCUUGGUGAAAUAAAUGAAAUCACAGAUGAGGCCUGACCUGCUGAGCGUUUCCAGCAUUUCCUGGGGUUUUCUGUUUAUUGAGGAUUUCCAGCACCUGCAGCUCUCCGAUCUUCAAUCGAUUUGACUGAUUUGACCGAGAAGAAAGUUGGAGAAUUUCUACCGAUUUUUCACUCUCCAAACGACCCGCGUCUAAUUCUGACUCGGGCUACGCUGCAAUGGAUUCUUAUAUUAGCAAUACCGUCUCCAGUGAUCAGAUCGCGCAAACAUAAUUAGUAUACAUGGGAGACUUGCAUGGACCACAAAUUCUCUGGAGACUCAAAUCAAGGCAAUAUCAAGACACCGAAUUUACUUUUAAACUAUCAACCGGAAAAAAAGGUUAAGAAACUGAAAUCACACAAUAUCUAGAAAUUGUUUAGCAGAAGAAUAAUGUAAUGAAUUUGCUUUUUCAAGAUAAUUGUGUAUAACUAAUAAUGAAUUAGUGAACCAAGAAGACACAAUCGAGAAAAAAAAAGUUAGCAUACAUGGGACGAAUAGCGGGCCGGAUAUGGAAAAAUGUUAACUGCACCUGUCGGUCGCAAUGGAAUUAUCAAGUGUAACUAAUGGAACACCAUUGUCGCUUUCGUAAUGCUUGUUACUGUUACACACGGAGAAAGAGAAGCAACAACUCAAUUACUGCAGCAGCGCGGAAGACCGCGAGUAAGGAUUGUUAUCAGUUCCCCCCAGAUUGUACCACUCCCGACACGCCAAGAGCAAUUUACAGAGGCCAAUUAAUUUAGAGGCACGCUCGCCUUUGGGAUGUGGGUGAAACCACGGCACCCAGAGGAAACCAAUGCAGUUGCAGGGAGAAUGUGCAAACUCCACACAGACAGCACCCGAGAUCUGGAUCCAAGCCGGGUCACUGGCGCUGUGAUGCAAGGUCGAUCUGUGUCAAAUCGCGUUCCUUGGCUUCUGGAGAGAGCAGGGGUUGAGUGAGGAUCACUCACCUGUGUGUUAUCCUCGUUCAGCCGGCGGUGAUUUGUGGCAAGGGCUCCAUGCUUUAAACUGCAACCUAGUGUCAAACUAGUCCUGGUGGAACAUUGUUUGUUUUAAUCCAGUAUCCCGAAGAUAUAUUACAACUCACAUCCGUAUAGAACGCAGUCAUUUGUCAACCCCUGUCUUAUCCAAAUCAUAACUAAAGUGAAGGAGAUUACAGGAAGUGGUAGAGAGUGGUGGACACUGCCCGGUCCAUCACGGGUACUGACUUCCCCGCCAUUGAAGAGGUCUAUAGGAGGCACUGCCUCGGAAAAAAAGCAGCCAGUGUAAUCUAAGAGUCAUAGCGCACUGGCCACGCUCUCAUUUCACGCCUCCCAUCGGGAAGAAGGUACAGGAGCCUGAAAACUCUGACCUCAAGGUUAAAGAACAGUUUAUUCCCAACAACCACCAGGAUCGUGAAUACUACACAACACCAUAAACUUUUGUGAACUGUUCAAGAAGGAACUGCAGAUGCUGGAAGAUCGAAGGUACACAAAAUUGGUGGAGAAACUCAGCGGGCGCAGCAUAACUUUUAUGAACUGUCUUUAGUUGCAGUUCGGUUUAUUUGCACUAAUAUUUUGGUUAUUCAUCAUUUUUUCCUAUUAUAUAUUAUCCAUGCAUAUUGUGUUACAGGCCUGUUAUGUUGCUGCAAGUAAGAAUUUAAUUGUUCUAUUGUCGGUACCUAUGACAAUCUUGGCUCUUGACCUCGACGGAUCAGGCAGCAGCUGCCGAGGGAAUGGGCAGUCCACACCACACACUCCCUCCACAGAUGCUGCCUGAUCUGCCGGGUUCCUCCAGCACUUUUUGUUUUGCUCACGAUUCCAGCAUCUGCAGCCCCAACGUCUGCUAAACAAAAAAUACCAAAUCUGUUGUGAUGCAGUCCAAACUAGGAGACAUCGAACAAACAAUUGUCGAAUUAUUUAAAUUGAGUGGCUUCAAAUGUUAGUGUAUAGGAUUUGCACCCCUAAGUAAAAGACUUAAGUGUGAUUGUCUUGUCAGUGGGGCUCAAGUAAGGACCUGCACAUUAUUCGCCCCCAUCUCUCUUUUCCAGCUCCCUCCCCCUCCCCUCUCCCAUCGGAAUCAGUCCGAAGAAGGGCCCCGACCGAAACGUCGCCUGUCCAUUCCCUCCACAAUUGCUGCCUGACCCGCUCAGUUCCUCCAGCACCGAAGAUAGACACAACAAUCUGGAGUGACGUUUCGGGUCAAGACCCUUCUUCAGACACAAGAACCUCGCCUGAAGAAGGUAGACAAAAAUGUUGCAUAAACUCAGCGGGUGAGGCAGCAUCUAUGGAGCGAAGGAAUAGAUGACCUUUCGGGUUGAGACCCUUCUUCAGACUGAUGUGGGGGUGGAGGGGAAGAAGAAAGGAAGAGGCGGAGACAGUGGGCUGUAGGAUAGCUGGGCAGUGAAAGGGAGGAAGUAAGGACUACCUGGAAUUGGAUUGGAUACUGAAGAAGGGUCUCGACCCGAAAGGUCACCUAUUCCUUUUCGUCAGUGAUGCUGCCUGACCCGCUGAGUUCCUCCAGCUUUUUGUGUCUAUCUUCGGUGUAAACUAGCUUUUGCAGUUCCUUCCUACACGAGUUCCUCCAGCACUUUGUGUCUUACUCAAUCCAUUUCCAAGUCAAGCCAAGGACUGCCUUUCCCAUUUAAGAUCCUUAUGUCUAUGUAAAUUAUUCGUCUUUACUCAAAGUGCGUUCCAGGUUAGGCAAGGGUACUUAUGAUCAUUUUGAAGCACCUCGUUUCUGAAUAGCAGUUUAUCUCAUUCUGAAUAUUUUGUUCUCAUUACGAAAAUAAAUCAUUUUGGAAAGUA